CCUACGGGGGGCAGCAGUGGGGAAUUUUGCGCAAUGGGGGAAACCCUGACGCAGCGACGCCGCGUGGAGGAUGAAGGCCUUCGGGUUGUAAACUCCUUUUGUGGGGGACAAUGGUGAUGGUACCCCAUGAAUAAGCCACGGCUAACUCUGUGCCGGCAGCCGCGGUAAGACAGAGGUGGCAAGCGUUGUUCGGAAUCACUGGGCUUAAAGGGCGUGUAGGCGGCAUUGCAAGUCUGGGGUGGAAUCCGGUGGCUUAACCGCCGAACGGCCCUGGAAACUGCAUUGCUUGAGUCAGUGAGGGGGGGGGGGAAUUCCCGGUGUAGCAGUGAAAUGCGUAGAUAUCGGGAGGAAGGCCGGUGGCGAGGGCGGCCCUCUGGGGCUUGACUGACGCUGAGGCGCUAAAGCGUGGGGAGCAAACGGGAUUAGAUACCCGGGUAGU
rnacentral:rRNA from 1 species